AUGAGCUUCUCCCAGGCAGAUGAGCCACAAGAUGCUUGGGGUGAACACUCACCUGACAUUCAAGAGAAUGCAUUUUCUGUGCUGAGACCUUCAAGUUCCAAGCAAGAAAGAACACAGCCUCAUUUCAGAGAGAGCUUCUCUCAUGCAGACCGCCAGCUGGAAACUUGGGAAGAACACCCAUCUAUCACUCAAGAGAACACGUUCUCUGUCCUAAGACUCUCUCAAGACCAAAGACCAUCAACCACACAACAAGAAAGAAUGCAAACUGUUCCAGUGAGCUUGUCCAAUGAAAAUGAGCAAGAGGAUGCUUGGGAUGAACACCCAUCUAACUUUCAAGAGAACACAAUCUCUGAACAGAGACCCUCAAGUACCUACCAGGCAAGAACAAAUAGUGCUUCUGGUGUGAGACGAUGGAGCUGCAUCACUAAUCAAUGUACACCUGUUGAGAGGACAAUUCUGGAGGUACUUAACGAACUGGACAUGAAGAUCAAUCAUCUGUCUUCAGUGGUCCAGUCCCUUGCAGCUAACAGUCGUUCCAGUGCUCCAGUGCUGCUGGUGGACAGCGAGGAUGAUGUCUUUCCUCUCACAACCAUGGAGGAACUAGACAAACUGGAAAGACAAUUGUCAGAAAAAGCAAUGAUGCAAAAGAUGGUAAAAAUCAUUGACAUUUGUAGGUUUAACAGUUGUAGUGAAAUAAAAAAUGUCUAUUAUAUACCGAGAUUCACAGACAAGGCUUAA
ensembl:lncRNA